rnacentral:misc_RNA from 1 species
UCCGGUUUGUCACCGGCAGUCUCCUUAGAGUGCCCUUGCGUAGCAACUAAGGACAAGGGUUGCGCUCGUUGCGGGACUUAACCCAACAUCUCACGACACGAGCUGACGACAGCCAUGCAGCACCUGUGUUCCAGUUCUCUUUCGAGCACACCCGCCUUUCAGCAGGCUUCCGGACAUGUCAAGGGUAGGUAAGGUUGUUCGCGUUGCAUCGAAUUAAUCCACAUCAUCCACCGCUUGUGCGGGUCCCCGUCAAUUCCUUUGAGUUUUAAUCUUGCGACCGUACUCCCCAGGCGGAUCACUUCACGCGUUAGCUUCGGUACAGGAAAAUCGCUUCUCCAACACCUAGUGAUCAUCGUUUAGGGCGUGGACUAC